CACUUGGCUCCCUCUAGGGAAGUACUCCCAGCUGCCCACAGUCAUCCUUCUCCAUCCCACUGACCUUCCACCCGUGACCAAUCAGGAGAUGUUUCCAGUUUAUUGGUGAAUUUAUUAGGGCUCAGAGAGGAUGACCUAUCCAAGGUCCCACUGCCAACUGAAUGUAGGACAAGUCUCUGAACCCAGUGUGCCCCUGCCAGAAAGUAGCAGGGAUCACAGAAGUCCAGCAGAGGUCUGCCGCCUUGGACCCCGCCUCUUACACAUUGAGUGUGGUUUCUGCAGUGAUGGGCUUCUCUCUUCCCUGGAGACGUAAAACCAGAAGGAUUCAGAAGGAUCUGCCAAAGGAAAUCUGGACCCCAUAAACGAUCAGGUAAUUUCAUGUACAUAAGGGUGUUCUAGAGGAAAGAUGGCUGUCACCACCCUGCGAGGGACCCUUUCACAUGUUCUGAUAUGAUUAUCAAAGUGAAAUAAAAAUCCAGCUGGAUUCAUGCUUUCAACUGGACUUGGAUUCCCACAAGGACUUGAAACUUAAAUCUUCUAGAAUAAAUGAUAUUGGUACUGAAUUCAACUGAAAAGAA
rnacentral:lncRNA from 1 species